ensembl:lncRNA
GUUGUACUUGUGGAUCUCCCUUUGCUUCUUGUCCAACUCGUAAGAGGGAAGCUUCCGGAAGGUGGCCUGACCAGGCUCCUGGAACCUUCUGUGGCCGGCUGAGUAAUGGGCUCUGAAGACAUCCAUGCCCUGAUCUCCGAGGCCUGUGAAGGUGUCAGCAGAAUGGAGCUGGGUAUGGGAACCCCGGAAUGAUGUACCUGGGGUACAGGUGCAGGUGGGGCCAUUCUGGUCAUUCUUUACACGGCAGGCGCCGAACAGCCCAAGUUCAUCUUCUGGUCCAGCUGCUUCUGAGGUGAGCUGUGGCUCAGUGCCCCCGUCUGUGAAUACAAAGAGUGGUGCCAGCUUGACUUCCGGCCUCAGUGUCUCUUCUGAGAAACGGGCACAGGCCCUCAUGUCCCUCCCAGAGAGGAAAGGGGCCACUGUGAAGCAGCCAGCACCCUCCUGCGCACUUCAGUCCUGGCACAUGACCCAUCCCUCUGCACAGGCGGAGGCCGGAAGCAAGGACUGACCGCUGGCAGGGCAGCUGCUGCCUCAGCUGAGCACACACGUGCUCCUGUCUACCACAGCUGUGUUGCCCAAUGCUCCAUGCUAGCACCUGCACGGAGGGGCUCUGCAGACAGGCCGAGGUCCAUGGUGCCUAUGGGGCCUCCUGUGACCUGGAUGUCCACUCACGCCAACGUCUGCUGCGUUGUCUGCUGACAUCACAGCAGUGCCCACGCUCGGGCCCCUGGAGUUUUCCAGGGACACUGGGACAAGCAGCAGAUGUGGAUCCAGUGAUCUCAUCUUACAAAAUCUGAAACACAUCAUGGCCAGGAUAUGGCACCCAUCUGGCUUCAUUUGUCACCAGGAUGCUGUUCUGCCACAUGGGCUGAUGUGGUGUUUUUGCAAGAAGGAUAUUUCUGACCCAGCUCCGAAUCUGAGGAUGCUUGUCCUGGAACCCUGCUCCCACAGGUAAGGAUGCCGGACUCGCCCUCGUGGACAAGCCCCGUGGAGGUGCUGUGGAAAGCGACCAGCUCAGCCCACAGAAAGCCCGCAGCCACUGCCAGUCACGUGAGCGGGACCACGGAGUCACCCCCCCCCCCGGACAAACAUUCCACCCUCCGCGGCCUGAGUCCCUGCCCUGCGGGGCCCACAGCGCUGGUUCUCUGCCUGUUCUCUGCCCUGGCGCUGACAGCAACCGGAAGACGAUCCUGCAUCCUGCAGCCGUUUGCUGAGCACCUACUGUAUGCUAAGGAUGCUGGGAAAGAACGAGGAAUUAGCCCGGAGUCCAGGCUGGCUGAGCCGGUUCCUGCUGCCGGCGGAAUUAGCUGCGUCAUCCCUGCGGCCGGGCUGGCCACGUGGCCAGAGAUGGCCAAUCAGAGCGCAGAUCUUUGGGCUGCAGUGAUUGGCUCACGGGUUGGCACGUGACCCACUUCCAGCCAAUAGCCAUCAGGCGGAGAGCUGGUUCACACAGGGUCAGAGGGUCCGAUCCGUAGACGAAGGGCGUCGAGUCGGCGCUAGGCUGUCCACCUCUCUGCUUGCCUCGUCCUCUGGUCUCGUCUGGUCGGCGGCGAUGCUCCUCCCAGCGGGAUCAGACUAAGGAAAUCCCCAGAACUGAAGUAAUCAGGGAUCAGGUGGGGGGCAAUGAUGGAAGCUAACUGAGGCACGAGGUUCGCCUGUUAGACGGAAUUCAACCCGCCUCGGGCUGCCGGGAAGCAGGCGUGGCGUCCACCCGAGCGGCCAGGGCCCGGCAGGCACCGGGAGGGACUGUGACCAGCACCCGCAGUACUUUGUGAAGUACGGUGGCCCAGGCUGGGUCGUGGCCCUCAGUCCCCAGGCCAUGCGGCGCCGGCCCCCAAGUGCAGCAAAGAC